CCCUUAGAUGUCCUGGGCCGCACGCGCGCUACACUGACAUGUUCAACAAGCCUCCUAGUUCGACAGGAUUUGGGAAAUCUUUGAACGCAUGUCGUGAUAGGGAUAGAUCAUUGCAAUUAUUGAUCUUGAACGAGGAAUUCCUAGUAAACGCGAGUCAUCAGCUCGCAUUGAUUACGUCCCUGCCCUUUGUACACACCGCCCGUCGCACCUACCGAUUGAAUGUUUCGGUUAAGAUUCCGGAUAGGACUUUUUUGAUUUAUUUCAAUUUUGUCUUAAAAGCUAUCUAAACCUCAACAUUUAGAGGAAGGUGAAGUCGUAACA
rnacentral:rRNA from 1 species